rnacentral:misc_RNA from 1 species
AACGCACAUUGCGCCCCUUGGCAUUCCGAAGGGCAUGCCUGUUCGAGCGUCAUGAUCAAAUCUCAAGCCUUGCUUGGUAUUGGGUUUUCGUCUCUCUCGUCUUUUGUACGGGUAUUGACGUGCCUGAAAAUCAAUGACAGUGCCUUAUUAGACUCAAGCGUAGCAGACUGACACGCUUUAGAGAACUUUUGUAGGCCCUGUCAAUAAAAUAAUAAGUUGGACCUCGGAUCAGGUAGGGAUACCCGCUGAACUUAA